UUGUUAUAGGAGGAGGUAGUUGAGAGGACGUGACUGCCAGUUGACCCACAAACUGGACCUGGACAAUUAGCGGCUCCUAACCUGCUCCCCUAUUGUUGGAAUGUACAUUCUGUUCACCAUUCUCACAGUAGGAGCUGUUUUCAAGGAUGCAACCUUGAGAGAGCAGUGUGGUAGGAGCUGUUUUCAAGGAUGCAGCCUUGAGAGAGCAGUGUGUUGCUGAGUCGAUCUGGAAGGAAUAUGUGAGUGAUGCAGUUAACUAAAUAAACUUGUAAGGCUCUGAUGGUUGGUUGCAGAGAUUUACUCAUCCUUUGACUGCCCAGGACAAGUCUUACAUGUUAAAAAAAAAAGUGAAGCCAAUGGAAAACUACAACAAACCAAUCCAGGCAGGACUACUAAUGGCCCACACCCUUCAGGAAUGAAAGAGUUACCCUGCCUGCUAAAGAACAAUGACCAGCUGAGGAGACCUAUCUGGAAAGAAGUUGCUGAGGUGAAGUCAAAGAAGUUACUUCCUGGGUUCUCUUCAGGAUUUUUAUGGUUUAU